rnacentral:rRNA from 1 species
GACGAACGCUGGCGGCGUGCCUAAUACAUGCAAGUUGAGCGAUGAAGAUUGGUGCUUGCACCAAUUUGAAGAGCAGCGAACGGGUGAGUAACGCGUGGGGAAUCUGCCUUUGAGCGGGGGACAACAUUUGGAAACGAAUGCUAAUACCGCAUAACAACUUUAAACAUAAGUUUUAAGUUUGAAAGAUGCAACUGCAUCACUCAAAGAUGACCCCGCGUUGUAUUAGCUAGUUGGUGAGGUAAAGGCUCACCAAGGCGAUGAUACAUAGCCGACCUGAGAGGGUGAUCGGCCACAUUGGGACUGAGACACGGCCCAAACUCCUACGGGAGGCAGCAGUAGGGAAUCUUCGGCAAUGGACGAAAGUCUGACCGAGCAACGCCGCGUGAGUGAAGAAGGUUUUCGGAUCGUAAAACUCUGUUGGUAGAGAAGAACGUUGGUGAGAGUGGAAAGCUCAUCAAGUGACGGUAACUACCCAGAAAGGGACGGCUAACUACGUG